rnacentral:rRNA from 1 species
UACGUAGGGUGCAAGCGUUAAUCGGAAUUACUGGGCGUAAAGCGUGCGCAGGCGGUUUUGUAAGUCUGUCGUGAAAUCCCCGGGCUCAACCUGGGAAUUGCGAUGGAGACUGCAAGGCUAGAAUCUGGCAGAGGGGGGUAGAAUUCACGUGUAGCAGUGAAAUGCGUAGAGAUGUGGAGGAACACCGAUGGCGAAGGCAGCCCCCUGGGUCAA